UUUGAUCCUGGCUCAGGAUGAACGCUAGCGGCAGGCUUAAUACAUGCAAGUCGUCGCGGCAGCAUGUCCCGUAGCAAUACGGGAUGAUGGCGACCGGCAAACGGGUGCGGAACACGUACACAACCUUCCUUCGAGUGGGGAAUAGCCCGGGGAAACCCGGAUUAAUACCCCGUAACAUAAUGGAGUGGCAUCACUUUAUUAUUAUAGCUCCGGCGCUUGAAGAUGGGUGUGCGACUGAUUAGGCAGUUGGCGGGGUAACGGCCCACCAAACCUACGAUCAGUAACUGGUGUGAGAGCACGACCAGUCACACGGGCACUGAGACACGGGCCCGACUCCUACGGGAGGCAGCAGUAAGGAAUAUUGGUCAAUGGACGCAAGUCUGAACCAGCCAUGCCGCGUGGAGGAUGAAGGCCCUCUGGGUUGUAAACUUCUUUUAUCUGGGACGAAAAAGGGACUUUUCUAAGGCCG
rnacentral:rRNA from 1 species